rnacentral:lncRNA from 1 species
AUCUAGAGAUUCUUUAGCGGUAUGAACAGCCUGCAAUGCAAAGAUUGGUUUCAGUUAACCAACUGAUAUCAAAAUGAUUCGGCAGAAACGAUGAACACAGUACAUUACCUGGACUGGACAUAGUUCUCGAUGGAUCCAAACGUGAGAGACUUGGCGAAUCCGGUGGUGAUGUCCAGCCUUACGGGCUCUCUCCAAAAUCUUGGCAUUCUCUUUCUCAGAAUCAGCAGAGCCGAGUCUUCCAUCAGCUUCUUCAUCCUAAGGAAUCUCGAGAGAUGAUGGCGUUUAAAUGAAAAAGAAAGAACAACCUCUAUAUGAUUAUGCAGAGGGGAAACGUGAAAAUAACGUACUUUUGUUCUAAGCUUAGGCUGCUUGCUUGGGGAAGAGAGGGUAAGGUUUUUCAGUGCAGAGUAACUCAGAGGAGGAGGGGCAACCUGCUCCUGGGUUCGCCUAUUGGUGGGAAGUGGGGUUUCAAUUGGAAUUUUUCCUGAGGUAGUAUGCUUGGCUUAAUUAAUUGUUGAAGAAGAAGACGUGGUAUAGGGGUAACUGGAUGUGACUUUCUUGUCAGCCAAGGGAUUGUGAAUCUCUUUAGCAGGCAUUCUUUCUGCCUCCUUCAGUUCUCAACAGCUUGUUUACUGUUCUGCUCAUGUUGACUGGGAUAUCGUUUCUCGAGUACUUUAGUUUUCUCGAGAGUCAACUUCUCAGCGAUCUAUAUAGCUUCUCUCGAUCCCUUUGGUUGGAGCAUCAGAAUGUUGCUUCUUCCGUGGAAUUCUAUCAUCAGUAGGCAACUUUUCCAGCACUGAAAGUUUUACACACUGAUGCAUCUUAUAUAGACAGUUUUUACACAUGAAGUUUUCAAGUGUCUGCAUUGGAAGAAAGAAACAAUUUUCAUGUACCAACGUUUACAGUUGUAAUUCAGAAUCUGGUUCUUGCAUUAAUAGUAACUAUAAUUUAAAGCUA